rnacentral:misc_RNA from 1 species
AAAAAACCUACGGUUCUUCAUGUAACUUUUAAAACUCUUCAAUUCCUUUCAGUCUGUGGUUUAACUCGCUUGGGAAUAUAUUCGUCGUGGUUGGAGACAAAAAUUAUUGUUGUAUACUUUUAAUACAAAGUUAUAUUGUUAGAUUUACCAAUUGUUUUUCCUAGCCCAUAUCUUGUAGUCCAUCAAACAGGCUCACUAUUCAAUCGAGAUAGUUUCAUCCCAUACGAAGUUUGAGGAUCAUCAUGAAGCUCAAGAGCUCAUCCUUGUUUCUCCUACUUGCUACUAUAUUUAAAAUGGCCGACUCUCAUGUCAAUUUAAAUUUCCCAAAAGGAAGGCAAUUGAAUUUAGAUUUUUUGGACUCUGUGCGAACGCCUGCUCCAUGUGGUAUGCCCAAAGGAGAACCAUUGUCUAUUUUUGAGGCUGGGGCUCGUCUCAACGUUUCCUGGCAUUUGAAUUAUCCACAUCAAGGUGGCCAUAAAAUAGAAUUGCUUGAUCCUGAAGAUAAUAUCCUUAUGUCCUUAACUCCUGAGAAUGGUGGAAGUAAGGGAACGGGCUGGAUCGAUGAUGACUCAACUGCUCAGAAUCAGGAAAUAAAAUUACCACGAGGGUUUACAUGUAAAAACUGUGCGAUCCGACUUCAAAGACAAGCCAAGGAAUGGGGUAAAUACAGGUUCUGGUCAUGUGCUGACAUUGAAAUAGUUCCCAGAGGGAAAUUAAAAGUCCGAUGCUCUGGCAAUGGUAAAUAUAAUCGUGCAACGGGUUCUUGUGAGUGUGAUAGAUUAUUUACGGGACGACGAUGUCAAUAUGAAUUGGAAUGCAGCAGUGAUUCUGAUUGUGGAAACGGAAAGUGUAUUGAUAUUCAAUCUACAGGAUCAACUAUUAAGCAAUGCUUUUGUAAUAUGGGAUAUUUUGGUCGAUACUGUGAUAAGCGAUCCUCUCUCAACUCAAAGAUGUCUGACUUGACGUCGUACCAAAGUCGUAAUUUUAAUGAUAAAAUGCAAAUGUUUUAUAAGACUCUACCGGAGACGGGAGAGAUUGAGGUAGUCCUCAAAGUAAAAGGACUUAGUUAUGGUGCAAUUGGAUUUAGAAAGAAAGGUACCUCUACCAGUUGUAGAAACUUUCCAUUAAUUGAUGAAGAAAGUGAGGAUGAGUUAUCUAGUUUUGAAUCUGAGCAAAUUUCCCGUACUCCAAAGUUCAAUAAAGACCUGGAUUUAUCAGCCUUUAUUCCUAAAGGAAAACUUCAUGCAAUGGAUUGUACUGAUAUGGUGGUUGGAAUGGCCCGAGGAAACUUAAAUCGUGUAUUUGACGGUUACACAAGAGACCGGUCAAGGCCACGAAGAGAUUCAUUCUGGGGAGGUGAAGAAGAUUUAACUUCGGCUCUUGCAUAUGAAGAAGAUGGAGAAACGACCAUUGCUUUCAGAAGGAAAAUGAAGUCCAAUGACAGAGCAGAUGUUUCAAUUGACAAUGAGGAUAUGCAUAUCAUUUGGGCAUUUGGGCAGGAAUCGGACAUGUAUGAUCAUAGACCCUCCUCUGGUCUUGAAAAAGGAACUGCCAGUAUUCCUAAAUUCUAUAGAGAAGAUCAUGUAAAAUAUCACGGUAGAACGAACCGAGGAGUUGACACAUUCAAUUUCUUCGCCAAGGUUAACAAUGGUGGUCAAUGUGAAAAUCAAAAGUUUAAAUACCCCUCAAAUUGUGUUGAUGAAAACGAUUGUCUCUAUACGGCUAAAUGGAGCCGUAAUGGGAAUCACAUUGACUUUGUUGUAACUAACCUUGUGGAUGACGAUACAUGGACUGCUAUUGGUCUUUCAAAUGAUAGAUUCAUGGGUAGUUCCGACAUCAUUGCAGGCUAUCUUGAUGGUACUGGUAAUGGAAUUGUCAAUGACAUGUGGGUCACCACCUAUACUUCUCCUCACCCUGAUGAUCAACAAAAUUUAAAGGACAUGACAUAUAAACGUGAAAAUGGAGUUUCUACCUUAAAAUUUUCGAAGCCCAUCACUUCACCUGAAGUUGAUAGAGAUGUUUCAUUAAUAGAAGAAUCUGUUUAUUUGUUCUUCCCUUACUCUGGUGGGUCUGUCAGAAAAAACAAUGAUCUUAAACCCGUUGCAAAGCAUUAUGAAACUCCAAUUGUGACCCAAGAUACCGUUACAUUUUCUAAUUGCCCACUUAAUUGGGAGAGUGGUAGUCACGGAGUACCUGGUGCUGAGCCAGAAGCGGAAACUGGAUAUGCUGCUAGUGAAUCAGAAGCAGAGAGUGGAAAUGCUGAAGUGGAAUCCGAAGCAGAGUCAGAGGGUGCUUAUGCUGAAGGUGAAGCGGAGUCCGAGGGUGUUUAUGCUGAAGGUGAAGCGGAGUCAGAGAGCUCAUCUGCCGAAGGUGAAGCAGAGUCAGAAAGCUCUUAUACUGAAGGUGAAGCGAAGCUAGAGUCAGAAGCUAAAUUUGAGUCUCAACCAAGAAAUUCAUUUCCAAGAAGAUUACCCAGUCGUAGAAGAAAACAUCAUAAUAAAAUUGAUCAUGAUUCUGAACCUGAGGCAGAACAAGGUUCUGAACCUGAAUCUGAGGGUGAAAAAGACUUAAAGGCUGAUCAUAGCACCAACAUUCUUAAAACAAGACGUCGAAUCAAUCGACUAAGACCAAAUAUUAAAAGAAAGUCAUAUUCUGAAUCAGAGAAAUAUCCUGGGUCUGGAGCUGAAUCAUAUCCUAAGUCUGAAACCGAAUCUGAGGCUGAAUCCGAAGCUGAAUCAUAUCCUGAAUCAGAAGUUGAGUCUGAAGCUGAAUCAUAUCCUGAAUCAGAAGUUGAGUCUGAAUCGGAAGCCGAAUCAGAAGCUGAAUCUGAAACCAAAGCUGUAUACACUGAAAGUAAGUCUGAAGGUGAAUCAGAGGCAGAAUCUGAAACCAAAGCUGGGUACACUGAAGGUGAGUCCGAAGCUGAAUCAGAGGCUGAAGCUGAAUCUGAGGCUGAAACUGGAUAUGAACCUAAAUCGUCAUAUAGCUCAGAACAAUUGCAUAACAAUAGAAUUAUUAAAAAUCCAAGAAAAGCUGUAUCAAAUUUUAGACGUAGAAUAAAUCACAACAAGCACCAUGCGACAGUGGAUCAACACGAAGACGAGGAAUCUGAAGCCGAAGUUGUGAAAGAUUCGUCUUCAGAGCAUAAGUUCCACCCCAGAAGAAUUCAUCGCCAUCGUACCAGAGUGAGUCAUAAGGAACCUCAUUCUGAACCAGAGUCUGAGCCUGAAAAACCAUCAAUCAAGCACAGUUUUUCCACUUUAAGGAGAUCCAGAAUUCCUAGUUCAAGAAAUCCCUCCGAAGAAGAACCUGAAGCCGAGGAAGAUAAUGGGGAGAAUGAACCUCGUGCUGCCAAACUUCGAAGCUUCAAAGGAAACGCUGGUCGUGAGGAAACAAGACAGAAGUUCAGACGUGUACAAGGUUUUCACAUUCAUCCAUCAAGAAAUCCUGACAAUAGCUCAUAACAACAUUCGACAUUAUUUAAAUAUUUGGAUCCUUACAGAAUUAAAUCCUUCCACUCUGUCCUUCUUCCUAUCCUAUCCCACCUUUCUACGACCUCAGUAAGACAACGAAAAAUCCCAAGAGCUAGAGUUCUUCGACGACGGCAAAGAAUCCCCGAAAGUCAUCCAAGCAAAUAACAAGGUCAUAAAGAACCCCCUCUCCUAAUCCCUCAAUCCUCUUCGAAUUCUGUAUAUGAAUAGUGUAUUUAUCAUGUUCUCUUCAAAAUAGUUACUCCUUCAAAAUUGAGAUAGUAUUAAAAUAUAUUAAUAUUUAAAUUUG